UACGUAGGUGGCAAGCGUUGUCCGGAUUUACUGGGCGUAAAGAGCGCGCAGGCGGUCGUUCAAGUCGCGUGUGAAAGCCCCCGGCUCAACUGGGGAGGGUCACGCGAUACUGAUCGACUCGAAGGCAGGAGAGGGGAAGUGGAAUUCCCGGUGUAGCGGUGAAAUGCGCAGAUAUCGGGAGGAACACCGGUGGCGAAGGCG
rnacentral:rRNA from 1 species